rnacentral:misc_RNA from 1 species
AUGAAAUUCGUGCUUUUGAUUUGACAAAUAUGUGGAUUGCUGAGAAGCUCAUAGUUGUAAAUAGUGGUAAUACGCGAGAGGCUGAAAGUAAGGCGGAGGAUUUCCUAAAUGAUUUGGUUUCUAGAAACUUGAUUCAACUUGCCAAAAGGACAUAUAAUGGAAGAAUUUCAAGUUGUCGCAUACAUGACUUGUCACAUAGUUUGUGUGUGGACUUGGCUAAGGAAAGUAACUUCUUUCACACCGCGCAUGAUGUAUUUGGUGAUCCCG